CAGCUACUCCCUCCGUUCGGAAUUACUUGUCUCGAAAAUGGUUGUAUCUAAAACUAAAAUACGUCUAGAUACAUCCAUUUUCGUGACAAGUAAUUCCGAACGGAGGGAGUAUAUA
rfam:Triticum aestivum genome assembly, contig: Triticum_aestivum_CS42_TGACv1_scaffold_576925_7BL